AUUUUGUGAUGAGGGCACUUUCGUAAUAAUUCUUUGUACCUUUCCCAUGCCUCAUACAAGGACUCAUCAUCCAUUUGUUGGAA
rnacentral:snoRNA from 1 species